CUUAGACUAAUGUCUUUUAUGUCUUGUUUCAGGUCCAAACCCGAAGUCCACCAGCAGGCCCAAGAGACACAAAGUCUCACAAAACAUACAGUACAACUUAUGCAACAUACUGUUUCUUGAAGCAUAUUCUUAUUGUUUUGUCGUCAGUUUUACCGAUCAAACCUUCAGAUGUUUUACGAGGAAUCAAAGAAAAAUGAAAUAUGAGUUAACGGUUACAUGAAAACCUUUAAAAACACACACACGUAUUAUUUGUUUUAAUUUGAUUGGAAAUGUUGAAAUACCAAAGAAGAUCAGGAAUGUGCUUUCCUUUACAGGGACUUGAGAAGGUUCGAAGAGAAUGGAGCCAUAUUGUAUUUGUCAGCCAAGCCUGCCACACCUUCCCUUACAAAAUCAUCUGGUGACUCGAGGUGGCAGUGGGAGAUGAGGAUUGACCUAAAAAUUAUGGGCAUUGAAAGCCGCAUAGACGUCUUGGCCGCUUACACCAUCAUGGAGCCUACCAAGAACAAUCACAUUUACUAAACUGAAAGCGACAACUCGCCUCUAUUACUAGUUAGAAGCGAGCCAAACGAGAAUGAGAGAUCUUUGUCCUUACGUGAAAGCUAGGAAAGUGCUCUCAUGAUUCUCCCAUUGAUCUUAAUGCCAUGUAAUGUCGCCCUUCAGACAAAAAAAACAUUACACAUUAGAGUACCACUAAGAUUCAAGCAGCACAUGUAAACGAGAGGGUACAAUUUGUUACUUCGUUGAGGAAAUUUUCGUGCUUGAAUAUAUGGUGUAAAUGUCGGAA